rnacentral:rRNA from 1 species
UGGGCGGAAGCCUGACGCAGCGACGCCGCGUGAGGGAUGACGGCCUUCGGGUUGUAAACCUCUUUCGGCGGGGACGAAGCCUGUUUUGCAGGUGACGGUACCCGCAGAAGAAGCACCGGCUAACUACGUGCCAGCAGCCGCGGUAAUACGUAGGGUGCGAGCGUUGUCCGGAAUUAUUGGGCGUAAAGAGCUCGUAGGCGGUUUGUCGCGUCGGCCGUGGAAACCGGGGGCUUAACCCUCGGCGUGCGGUCGAUACGGGCAGACUUGAGUUCGGCAGGGGAGACUGGAAUUCCUGGUGUAGCGGUGGAAUGCGCAGAUAUCGGGAGGAAUACCAGUGGCGAAGGCGGCCUUCUGGACUGACACUGACACNNNNGUGCGAAAGCGUGGGUAGCAAACAGGAUUAGAUACCCUGGUAGUCCACGCCGUAAACGNDGUCGDGUAGCCGCUGGGUUCCUGNDGGACUUAGUGGCGCAGUUAACGCGAUAAGUCGACCGCCUGGGGAGUACGGCCGCAAGGUUA